rnacentral:rRNA from 1 species
UACGUAGGGUGCAAGCGUUAAUCGGAAUUACUGGGCGUACAGCGUGCGCAGGCGGUUUUGUAAGUCUGACGUGAAAUCCCCGGGCUCAACCUGGGAAUUGCGUUGGAGACUGCAAGGCUAGAAUAUAGCAGAGGGGGGUAGAAUUCCACGUGUAGCAGUGAAAUGCGUAGAGAUGUGGAGGAACACCGAUGGCGAAGGCAGCCCCCUGGGUCAAGAUUGACGCUGAUGCACGAAAGCGUGGGGAGCAAACAGG